rnacentral:rRNA from 1 species
GGUUCGAUUCUGGCUCAGAUUGACGCUGGCAGGAUGCUACACAUGCAAGUCGAACGGCAGCACGGACUUCGGUCUGGUGGCGAGUGGCGAACGGGUGAGUAAUGCGCCGGAACGUGCCUAGCGUGGCGGGGAUCGCUACGCGAAAGCGUAGCUAAUGCCGCAUACGCCCUUCGGGGAAAAGCGGGGACCGGGCUCGCACUAUUAAACGGCCGAUAUCGGAUUGAGCUAGUUGGUGGGAGUAACGGCUCACCAAGGCGACGAUCGCAUGACUGGUUUGAGAGGACGACCAGCCACACUGGGACUGGAGACGGCCCAGACUCCUACGGGGAGGCAGCAGUGGGGAAUUUUGGACAAUGGGGAAACCCUGAUCCAGCCAUCCCGCGUGUGCGAUGAAGGCCUUCAGGUUGUAAGCCCUUUAGCCCAGGAAAGAAACGGCUGCGGAUAUGCCCGUGCAACUGACGAAUACCUGCAGAAGUCAAGCACCGGCCUUCGUGCCAGCAGCCGCGGUAAUACGUAGGGUGCCAGCGUUAAUCGGAACUGCCAGGCGUAAAGCGUGCGCAGGCGGUUCGGAAAGAAAGAUGUGAAAUCCCAGAGCUUAACUUUGGAACUGCAUUUUUAACUGCCGAGGAAAGCUAGAGUGUCGGGGGAGUGGAAUUCCGCGUGUAGCAGUGAAAUGCGUAGAUAUGCGGAGGAACACCGAUGGCGAAAAACAGCCUCGCGGGAUAACACUGACGCUCAUGCACGAAAAGCGUGGGAGCAAACAGGAUUAGAUGCCCUGGUAGUCCACUAAGCGAUGUCAACUGGCUAUUGGGGCCUUCGGGCCUUGGUAGCGCAGCUAACGCGUGAGGCUGACCGCCUGAAGUACGGUCGCAAGAUUAAAACUCAAAGGAAUUGACGGGGACCCGCACAAGCGGUGGAUGAGUGUGGAUUAAUUCGAUGCAACGCGGAAAAACCUUACCUACGCUUGACACAUAUGGAAUCCCGAAGAGAUUUGGGAGUGCUCGCAAAGAGAACCCGGAACACAGGUGCUGCAUGGCUGUCGUCAGCUCGUGUCGUGAGAUGUUGGGCUAAGUCCGCAACGAGCGCAACCCUUGUCAUUAGUUGCUGAAAGGGCACUCUAAUGGGACUGCCGGUGACAAACCGGAGGAAGGUGGGGAUGACGUCAGUCCUCAUGGCCCGCUAUGGGUAGGGCUUCCACGUCACUAAAUGGUCGGAAGUUGAAGGGUCGCCGACCCGCGAGGGUAAUCCCGAAACCCGAUCGUAGUCCGGAUCGCAGUCUGCAACUCGACUGCGUGAAGUCGGAAUCGCUGACAUCGCGGAUCCGGCAUGUCGCGAUGAAUGCGUUCACAGGUCUUAUACACACCGCCCGUCACACCAUCAGAAUUAGGUUUAGAAGUAGUUAGCCUAACCGUAAGGAGGGCGAUUACCACAGUAGGAUUCAUGACUGGGGUGUUGAAGUCGUAACAAGGUAG